ACCCUUGGCAGUGAGGCAGCUCACACCUGCACACCCUGUCAUGGUGGACCUCAGUGGGAGAGAGGUGGAAUUGCAUCUGCGGCUGCGCGUCCCACAGGUUGGCCACUACGUGGUUGUGGUCGAGUAUUCCACGAAGGCAGCCCAGCUGUUUGUGGUUGAUGUGAAUGUGAAGAGCCCCGGGUCUGUUCUGGCAGGCCAGGUGAACAUUUACAGCUGCAACUACAGUGUUCUCUGCCGGAGCGCUGUGAUUGAUCACAUGAGCCGCAUCGCCAUGUAUGAGCUAUUGGCAGAUGCAGACAUUCAGCUCAAGGGACACAUGGCCCGAUUCCUUCUGGUAUGCUUCUGUUUUGCCCAUUGAAUUUUAGAAGCAUUUUGCUGAUAUCUAUAUUUUUUGAAGCUUAUUAAAAUUUUGGUUAGGGUUGCAUUACUCCUAUAAUCUGUGAAGAAUUGCCAGUUUAAUAUUUAUUCCCAUCUAGAACCUGACUUUCCUCUUCAUUUGUUUGAGCAUACUUUGAUAUGGCCUAAUAAAAUUUAGUCAUAUUUAAGUACCUCUC
rnacentral:sRNA from 1 species